rnacentral:misc_RNA from 2 species
CCGAGAUCUCCCCUUGAUACCUUACUUGCUUUGGUUGGCCGGGGCAACCCCCGGGGCUUCGGCCUUGGUGUGCCUGCCGGAGAAAACAAACUCUGUUUUUAGUGAUGUCUGAGUACUAUAUAAUAGUUAAAACUUUCAACAACGGAUCUCUUGGUUCUGGCAUCGAUGAAGAACGCAGCGAAAUGCGAUAAGUAAUGUGAAUUGCAGAAUUCAAUGAAUCAUCGAAUCUUUGAACGCACAUUGCGCCCCGUGGUAUUCGCGGGCAUGCCUGUUCAGCGUCAUUUCAACCCAUCAAGCUUCGGCUUGGUCUUGGGGCCUGCGAUUCCGCACCUCUAAACCCAGUGGCGGUGCCUCCGAGCUCUGACGUAGUAAUUCUUCUCGCUAUAGGUCUCGGUGGUGUCUUGCCAUAACCCCCAAUUUUUUACAGG